rnacentral:rRNA from 1 species
UACGGAGGUUGCGAGCGUUGUUCGGAAUGACUGGGCGUAAAGGGAGCGCAGGCGGUCCGUUAAGUCCGGAGUGAAAGCCCGGGGCUCAACCCCGGAGGGUCUUCGGAAACUGGCGGACUCGAGUACGGAAGAGGAGAGUGGAAUUCCAGGUGUAGCGGUGAAAUGCGUAGAUAUCUGGAGGAACACCGGUGGCGAAAGCGGCUCUCUGGUCCGAUACUGACGCUCAGGCUCGAAAGCGUGGGGAGCAAACGGG